GGUUCAAAUAGUAUACUUUGACCCAUAUCGGCUAUUGCACGAAAACUAGUUCCGUGGGCCGUACCGUGUGCGCAAAUAGGCGAAACGGUUAACCAUAAGAGUCGUACGCUUAUUUCCUAAGUCAAUAUGCCUUAAAAGUAUUUUGGUAUCAGUAGGAUACCUUCCGUAAUGCCCGUAACGAGUUUAACAACUGGAAUCGGGUCAAAAGACCUUGUAGAACUCCCGUUUUGGCCAAAAAGGGCAUAUUCGGUAUUUACCGAACCGUAGCCAUAACCGCAGGUUAUGAGCAAGGUAAAAAUUAUUAAAAAUCUUUAAAAUUCC
rnacentral:lncRNA from 1 species